UUCACGCAUACAUAUACAUGUUACACAACCUACAAUUAUACAUAUAUAUAUGUCACACAUACUUAUAACUCGAUAACUAGUAUGCAUAAAAUCUACAUAUCCCUACAAGUAACAAGAUGAAUACACAAUUAUACGUCAUAUAUAACAUCAUCUAGGUUUUCAAUCAUAUACAAUUGCACACAUGUGAAUAUGAAGAGUUCGCAAAACUCGUGGUAGAAAACUUAAACAGUUUGUGAAGUCUGAAAAUAAUUCAUUUUAAUAGAAAAUAAGUUUUUAUAAAAAUAUGGGGGCCUUUGAAUGAGACUAACCCAAUCCUUUACCUAUAGUUGAAUCGCCAAGUGUCGGAAUCCUUAUUGGCUCGGGUCUACACUCUCCUCUAAAUCUAGUAUUGUUCAUAUAAUUCUCUCAUUUACAAACAGAAAAUAUGUGGGUU
rnacentral:lncRNA from 1 species